UACAGGGGAGCUGAAGAACCCAGAGAGAUAAUUCCAAGAUGCAUAUUAACUGCAUUACUUCUGGUGACUAUUAUUUAUCUACUAGUUAGUAUUUCCCACCUGACUAUUCUGACACCCAGAGAUAUUCUCUCUUCAGGAGAGCCCUUUAAUUACAGAAAAGGAAAUAAGCAAAAACUUGGCAACAUCAGGAUAUUAUUGGAGAAAGGUUGGGUAGUAUUUGGUGCAGGACACUUAUCAAUCCUAGGGCAGAGCAGGUGUCUUUUCCAUUACCAUCGAUAACAAUGACCAUCAGCCUAUGUUUGACUUUGAUCCCUUUGGUGAAGUCUUCACAUAUAUAUUAUAUCUUGUGUGUCUCUUUGUUCUCAGCCUCAAUUUAAAAUAUAUUAAAGUUAUGUAAAACUUCUGUUAUAUUUUAAAACUUCUGUAUAUUUUAAACUGAGGCUGAUUUGGUUUGAGAAAAUGACAUGCUAUUUACAAUUGCAGUUUAAUAUUUGCACCCUGAUGUGUCUGAAGAACAGAUGUCAGAAGUAGAAACUGUUAAAGAAAAUAGCCUUUUAAACAUGCCAAGUUAAAUUAAAAAAAGAUCAAGCCCAUGAUAGAACAUUAAUGAUGAAAUACCCAUGGUAACUUUCUUUCUUCAAAGAAAUAGUGUAUAAAGAGGUGCCCAUGAUAAUACCUAGCUUUAAAAACCAUGCAGAAAUCGUUGUAUAACUAAAGCUCUGUUUUGGUUUGCAUGGGUUGAUACGUUGGUAUUUUUCCCUCUUCCAUUUUCUUUUUUCUAUACCCCAAUCUUUUACUACUGAAUUUGUGGUGACUUUGUGAUAAAAUUUAGCAAUUAAAAUAAAA
rnacentral:lncRNA from 1 species